CAGAAGCGGGAAUUACACCAUAAGACGAGAAGACCCUGUGGAGCUUUAGAUGAAUAAAUGAAUUUAUUUAACAUAAGCCCCCUAAAAGGCAAUAAGCCAGUAACCUCAUUUUAAUAUCUUUAGUUGGGGCGACCGCGGAGUAAAACAAAACCUCCGUGAGGAUUGAGGUAAAACCUUAUACCUAAGAAAGUCAUUUCUAAGCACCAAAAUAUUUGACCUAAAGAUCCGGCAAUAGCCGAUCAACGAACCU
rnacentral:rRNA from 1 species